AACGCGAAGAACCUUACCAAGACUUGACAUACAGUAGAAAAGGUUAGAAAUAAUCUCUUCCUUCGGGACUGCUGUACAGGUGGUGCAUGGUUGUCGUCAGCUCGUGUCGUGAGAUGUUCGGUUAAGUCCGGCAACGAGCGCAACCCCUAUUAUAUGUUGCCAAUAUUAAGUUAGGAACUCAUAUAAGACUGCCGUGGAUAACACGGAGGAAGGCGGGGAUGACGUCAAAUCAUCAUGCCCCUUACGUCUUGGGCUACACACGUGCUACAAUGGAUGCUACAAAGAGCAGGUAAACAGUAAUGUCAAGCGAAUCUCAUAAAAGCAUUCUCAGUUCGGAUUGAGGGCUGCAACUCGCCCUCAUGAAGUCGGAGUUGCUAGUAAUCCCGAAUCAGAAUGUCGGGGUGAAUGCGUUCCCGGGUCUUGUACACACCG
rnacentral:rRNA from 1 species